UAACUGCGCAGGCGCUCUCACUCCAAAAGGCCGCUGGGUGAGCGCAGAGGCGGUGCAGGGCGGCGGACUCGCCUAGGCGCGCAGAGCGUGUGCGUGGCGUUGCGAGCUACAUCCUCGGAGGGGGUCGGAGAUGGCGGCGGCCGACGGGGCUUCGUCGGAGGCGGCGGCUUCAGAGCAACCCGCGGAGCUGCCUGCCUCGGUGCGGGCGAGUAUCGAGCGGAAGCGGCAGCGGGCGCUGAUGCUGCGCCAGGCCCGGCUGGCUGCUCGGCCCUACCCGGCGUCUGCGGCUGCGGCUACUGGAGGCAUGGCUAAUGUAAAAGCUGCCCCAAAGAUAAUUGACACAGGAGGAGGCUUCAUUUUAGAAGAGGAAGAAGAAGAAGAACAAAAAAUUGGAAAAGUUGUUCAUCAACCAGGACCUGUGAUGGAAUUUGAUUAUGUAAUAUGUGAAGAAUGUGGGAAAGAAUUUAUGGAUUCUUAUCUUAUGAACCACUUUGAUUUGCCAACUUGUGAUAACUGCAGAGAUGCUGAUGAUAAACACAAGCUUAUCACUAAAACAGAGGCAAAACAAGAAUAUCUUCUGAAAGAUUGUGAUUUAGAAAAAAGAGAGCCAGUUCUUAAAUUUAUCGUGAAGAAGAAUCCUCAUCAUUCACAAUGGGGUGAUAUGAAACUCUACUUAAAGUUACAGAUUGUGAAGAGGUCUCUUGAAGUUUGGGGUAGUCAAGAAGCAUUAGAAGAAGCAAAAGAAGUCCGACAGGAAAACCGAGAAAAAAUGAAACAGAAGAAAUUUGAUAAAAAAGUAAAAGAAGUUGUUCCUGCCUUCCUGAAUAGGCCACAAAGGGCUGAGAUUGGAGUAGACACUGUAGAGAUUAGACACAAGAAGCUUACUGUGCAGUUUUCUCACAAGGCUCAGAACAGAGAGGAAUAAAAGCAAGUCUAAAAGUAUUUUAGUUGAAAAGAAAUUGGAACCUGGUUCCUCUUGGUCUUCUGAUUUUGAUCCACAAAGAAGCUGACACAGUUUACUUCUUUCUGGGAAGAAUUGCGGCGAGCAGUAAGAAGCAGCGUGUGGAAAAGAGAGACGAUUGUUCAUCAACAUGAGUAUGGACCAGAAGAAAACCUAGAAGACGACAUGUACCGGAAGACUUGUACUAUGUGUGGCCAUGAACUGACAUAUGAAAAAAUGUGAUUUUUAGUUCAGUAACCUGUUUUAUAGAAUUAUACAUUUAAAUAAAGGAAAUUAAGAUUGGUCCUAUUCAAAAUUUAAGAAAAUGCAAUGUCUUCAAAGAUGAAUGAAACCUUUAUAUAAGUAAUGCUUCAGUAACAAUUAUGUAUGUUACUGCUUAAAAGCAAGUUUGAGUGAAGGUCCACCUGGCCUGGUUGUGUGCAGAAUGUCAUGUCUGUGAUUGUUUUCUUACAACCAGGGAUGGGAGCUGAGUGCUAGAGUAGGUGCAAAAGUGGUAGGUCAGCUACAAAUUUGAGGACAAGAUACCAAAACAAACCGUAGACUUUGGUACAGGGAAAAGCUUUCAAAAAAGACCGUAGCCAGCUGAACUGGAUUCUUAACCAAGAAACAAAUAGCAAUGGUGGUGUACCACUGUACCCAGGUUCUGGUCAUGUUUUUUUAGGACAAUUUCUGUCUCCACGAUGGCGGAAACAGUGGGGAACUAUUGCUGGGAAACGCCCUGAUAAAUAGCAGAAAUAAAACAAUGGAGUU